rnacentral:tRNA from 1 species
GCACCUAUCGUCUAGCGGUUAGGACACCACUCUUUCACAGUGGGAACACGAGUUCGAACCUCGUUGGGUGUACCA